rnacentral:lncRNA from 1 species
CGAGAGAGUCGCGCGAGACAGAGUCGCGCGAGAAAGAGAGAGAGAGAGAGAGUCGCACGAGAGAGUCGUGCGAGACAGGGAGUCGCGCGAGACAGAGUCGCGCGAGAAAGAGAGAGAGAGAGUCGUGCGAUGAAGCGCCCGAGAGCGCUGGUCGGCACGCGAGAGGUGGACCGCCUGUCGCGCCGUGGGUCGUUGGGAGGGCAAGGCAGGUGUCUGAUUGUGUUUGUCCGGGCACUGGGGAGGGAUGGGUCUCGGGCUGGGGAGGGAAUGUGUUUGUGCGGGCAUGGGGCCGGGUAAUGACUGGGGGAGGACACUUAAAUGACUAGGGAGAACCGACGAGCGGCGGACGCGUGGGAAGGAGGACGUGAGGGGAGCGAAUGGACUGACGAGACCAUGACUGGGGUGAAUGAGCAUAUGGGGAUGAGGAGACAUGAUUGAGGUGAAGGAGCAAUGGAUUGUGAGUGAGUGAAUGAAUGGGGGGACAUGGCCGAGGGAACGACAGAAGCGAAUUGCCUGAGUGGAAUAGAAUAGAGAGAUGUGUUGGGAAAACAAAUGCAACCAAGGGGAAGGGACAAGAAGACAUUGACCUCGAAUUCCUGAGCGAGCAAGGGCGUGUCAGGAGCGGACUUUCCAACCACCCAACCUAGACAUUAACGCAUUUGCCCCGUACCCUCAGGUAUCCUCGGUCAAUGUCUUUGACGCAUGGACGGACAUAUGCAUGAGAGUGGAGAGGCAAGGUGGAGGAGCCGGGAAAUGGAGGAGCAGAAUGAGUGAAUGAGUGAGAUGGAGAGAGAGAGAGAGAGAGAGAGAGAGAGAGAGAGAGAGAGAGAGAGAGAGAGAGAGAGAGAGAGAGAGAGAGAGAGAGAGAGAGAGAGAGAGAGAGAGAGAGAGAGACCACCAAUUAACAUACCUAAGUGGUGGAUAGUCGGGCAUUGGGCCCGAUUUGGGUUAUGCCUGUUCUUUCGACUAUGGGUAGAUCAGUUCCUACAAGGUGGCGGACUGGUUCGAGGUUUCGCUAUCACUAAUAAAAAACCCACAUUCCAUUCAAAAUUUAUCGGACGGUGAUUAAGUUAUGAAAGUUUCCCACAGUAUCGUGAUGUUACGAGUAUAAAAAGGUUAAAUAAUCAUGUUUCAUGAGCACCUGGGAGUUAAAUUUGUCGAUUAUCGUAACCAUGUGUGCUGCUGAGUGCCGCGAUGUAUGUGUGUGUAUGCCGCGAUGUAUGUGUAUUGUGUACGUAUGUGUAUCGUAAGGGCGGAAUGAUGAGGGGAGGGAAGGACCCUGCCCUCCCACAGGCACGUCACCCAAUCCGCCAGCGACCAGCCGCCAGCCUGGAGCCACCGGCAACCAGGACCUCGGCGGUACGGGCCGGGCGGCGGCGCUUCGCUGAUCAUCUAGCCGUACGGCCCACCAGACGCCCCGCCGCACCCUGCGGCGACGAAGGCCGCGACAAGUAGGGGGCGGCGGCUCUGGGCCACCAACCUAGCCGCUCCGGCCGCUCGCCCGCCUGCCCGGACACCGCAGCGAACCAGAGCUGCGGCAGUACGGGCGGGCGCGCGCAGCCGCCGACCUCGCGGUUCCCGCCGUCUGCCCAGCUGCCCGGACCCCGCAGCGUUCAAGAGCUGCGGCAGUACGGGCGGCUGCGCUCGGUCGCCGCCCCGCCGUUCCAGCAGUCUGCCCAGCUGCCCGGACCCCGCGGCGUUCAAGAGCUGCGGCAGUACGGGCGGCUGCGCUCGGUCGCCGCCCCGCCGUUCCAGCCGUCUUCCCAGCUGCCCGGACCCCGCGGCGUUCAAAAGCCGCGGCAGUACGGGCGGCUGCGCUCGGUCGCUGCCCCGUCGCGCCAUCUGCUAGCAGUCCCAUCCAGCCCGCGGCAGUGCGUUAGACGGUGGAGCUCGGCCCGUCUCACCACGCGCCGGUCAGCAGCCUGCGGCCGCCCCACUGGAAACCGCGGUGCCAAUGGCCGCGGCGGUAUAGUGUGUAACGGCGGCCGGGCCGGCCGACCUGACGGCCCCGCCGGUUCUGCACGGGCUGGGAUACAGCUGAACCACCUGUCGACAGCCGCCCGAUCCGGCACCAGCGGCCCGGGUAUCCGCGGCAGCAUAGGGUCGGGCGGCAGCUUCAGAUGCCGGCCGUGCAGAGGCGCCACAUGACAGCUCCCGGGGGUCGACGCCCUCCACCGGUGGCGUACCCAGCUGGCGGCAGCGUGACAGGCGGCGGGCACGGCGCACCACCCGCGCACAUGAGCCGCCGCCGUCGCCGCCGCCACCGCCACCUGGUGGUAGGUCGACGCCCUACACCGGUGGCGCACCAAGCUGGCGGCAGCGUGACAGGCGGCGGGCACGGCGCACCACCCGCGCACAUGAGCCGCCGCCGUCGCCGCCGCCACCGCCACCUGGUGGAUGCCGGAUUUGAAGGUCGACGCCCUCUACCGGUGGCGCACCAAGCUGGCGGCAGCGUGACAGGCGGCGGGCACGGCGCACCACCCGCGCCCAUGAACCGCCGCCGCCGCCGCCGCCACCGCCACCUGGUGGCGCGACCCCGGGACGCCUGGCGGGAGCCGUCCAACUCUGAGGCGGGCUUGGCAGAAGGAGACGGUCGCAACGACACCUAGCGGCGCGCGAGCACGCAUCCUACAAGCGGGGGCACCGACUGCCGCCCAAGAAGCCCCGGAUUGCGGCGGUGGCGCUGAGAUAGAGUGCGGUCGCCCAGGGAGGCGGCCGCCCACCAAGGUGUCCACCGUCCGCGAACACCGGCUAUGGGCGGUAGCGUGCGCUACCGGCUGAGCAUCGCGCGCGUGUGCUACCAAUCCAGGCGACCUCCAACCAAGGACCAGUUCAUGGCGGGGGGUCGAGGGCCAGAAGAGCGAGGCGAUACGAGCGAGCGUGGGAAGGAAGAGCUGGCGACGGAUCGGCGCUGCGAAAAAUGCGAGCAGCAGGAGAAGGGCUUGGCAGGAGGGUGGCAGGCGGAAUGAACAAUGGGGCGAUGAGCGGGAGCGUGGGCAGGGCGACUGUGCAUGUAAGGCGUGGGGCGGGAGUCUGUGGAAUGUAUGUGGGAUGUCUGUAGAAUGUAUGUAGGAUGUCUGUAGAAUGUAUGUCGCAUGUGUUGUGUAGGUAUAAUGAUUGUCAAGCGCGAAUGAGAUAGUGGAAAGGUUCUCACCUGGGGGAGUAAGGGGACCCUUUUUCACCGUCCGUGGGAGGGAGAAUUAUUAUGUAAGGGCAAAAUUGAGCGCGUCAGAGAGUGUGUGGAGCGGCGGGCCGGAGAACCAGAGUGCGCGUUAGGCCAGUCCGCCGUAUGUUUGCCUCCGGCGGGAAAGGCGUGCCCGCCGGGUGAAAGGCAGCGGCUGGCCGGCACCUGGGACUCGCGGGCCCGUCUCUCGAGGCAUUUGCCAGUGCGGUUUCGUCGGGGCAACAUCUUUCGGUAAGCGAUCUUUUCCAUCCCCCCUAAAUUAACGCCGCAGCGCCCAGGCGCUGCGGAAGUCCCCGACAUAUGUCCUGGAUUUUAUUUGGCUUUCCGACCCGCCGCAAAUAGCGGUGGGCUCUCCCGUUCAUAUCCAGGGCCGUCCCGUCUAAAUUAUAUUCAUCGGCGCGGCGCGUAGGGUUAAUGAGUGAGCGGUUGAAAGUGUGAUGUGUGCUGUGUGCGUGAGCGAUGGAAGUUGAGGAGUGAUCAUUUUAUCCCGCAAAUCUAAAAUACAUAGAGUUCGGAAUGUGA